AGACCUGGGACAGACUUCUUUCAUUUUCUGAUCUGCUUUUGCCAGAUGUCCUCUGUAGCAAGAGGCAGGACAAACAGUGAGGAGUCCACCAACACUCACCGGGUGACCCCUUUGCUUUGGAAACUUACUCAGGGUGAAAGGAAUUCCGAUUUUAAACAGCAUCUCUUUGUGUGGCCUGUUUGAGGCACCACACAGAGCUUGCUGGAGCAGCCCUGUUGACCGCUGACCCUUGGCCUGCUAACUGAAACAAGGACUGGCCUUCAGCACAUGAAUGUCUUCUCCGACCCAGCAUGCUGUGGAACAGGCUUGGACACUGACUUCCCACUGACCUCAAAGGCAGUGCUCUUCUUGAACUGGACUUACUUCAAAUGCAAGGCAGAACUUUUUAUUCUGGAAAGAAUCGUGCCCACAGAACAGACACUGGCGAUCAUAUCCUUUUAAAGAAUGAUGUUCAGCUAACAGGUUGUUACAUUAGUAACUAAACUAGAAGUUCUUGUCCUAUGGAGAGAAUCUCAAGUCUUUGAAAACAAAUUCUUUCCUACCCUUCACUCAAGUAAUUUAUCUGCUCUGAAGAAUGCCAAAAACACACCACUGUGCGCUGCCCAGCGCCACACACAUUUCCACUUAUUUUUUAGGCUAAGCAGCAAAUGUGGAUCCAAAAGUGGAAGAAAUCAGACACUGCUGAUGGCAGAUGUUUUGCCAAUAGGUCAGAUGGCUGCAUGUUUUUAAUCAAACAGUCUCCAUCACCUGAGAGCAGAGAUCAAAUUAUCAAGGUGGUGUGUGUGGACAGCUUUUUGCAGCCACUGGCAGACUCAGUUUCCUUUGUCAAUUUCUGUCUGGGAUACGAUGCUGUUCAAAAUGCUGUUUCAGGUAUGUCUUUAUCAGCAGCUUGAAAAUGAACUAAAACAGUAAAUUGGUACCAGUAGAGUGCGGUGUUGCUGAAAAAAUACCCAAAAAUGUGAAAGUGACUUUGGAACUUGAUAACAGGCAGAGGUUGGAACAGUUUGGAGGGCUCAGAAGAAGACAGGAAAAUGUGGGAAAGUUUGGAACCUCCUAGAGACUUAUUGAAUGACUUUGACAAAAAUGCUGAUAGUGAUAUGAACAAUAAAGUCCAGGCUGAGGUGGUCUCAGAUGGAGAUAAAGAACUUGUUGGGAACUGGAGCAAAGGUGACUCUUGUUAUGUUUUAGCAGAGACUGGCGGCAUUUUGCCCCUGCCGUAGAGAUUUGUGGAACUUUGAACUUGAGAGAGAUGAUUUAGGGUAUCUGGCAGAAGAAAUUUCUAAGCAGUAAAGCAUUCAAAAGGUGACUUGGGUGCUGUUAAAAGCAUUCCAUUUUAAAUGGGAAAUGGAGCAUAAAAGUUAAAGAAAUUUGCAGCCUGACAAUGCAGUGGAAAAGAAAAACUCAUUUUCUGGGGAGAAGUUCAAGCCAGCUGCAGAAAUUUGCAUAAGUAGCAAGGAGCCUAAGGUAAUCCCCAAGGCCAUGGGGAAAAUGUCUCCAAGUCAUGUCAGAGACCUUCACAGCAGCAUCUCCCAUCACAGGCCUGGAGGCCAAGGAGGAAUAAGUGGUUUAGUGGACUGGGCCCAGGUUCUCUGUGCUGUGUGCAGCCUAGAGACUUGGUGCCCUGUGUCCCAGCUGCUCUAGCCAUGGCCAGAGGGGGCCAAUGUACAACUUGGGCUGUGGCUUCAGAGAGUGGAAGCCCCAAGCCUUGGCAGCUUCCAUGUGGUAUUGAGCCUAUGGGUGCAUAGAAGUCAAGAAUUGAGGUUUAGGAACCUCAGCCUAGAUUUCAGAAGAUGCAUGGAAAUGCCUGGAUGCCCAGGCAAAAGUUUUCUGCAGGGGUGGGGCCCUUAUGGAGAACUGCUAGGGCAGUGUGGAAGGGACCUAGUGGAGCUGUGAGAAGAGGGCCACCAUCCUCCAGACCCCAGAAUGGUGGAUCCUUUGACAACUUGCACUGUGCACCUGGAAAAGCCACAGACACUCAACGCCAGCCCAUGAAAGCAGCCAGGAGGGAGGCUGUACCCUGCAAAGCUACAGGGGCAGAGCUGCCCAAGACCAUGGGAACCCACCUCUUGCAUCAGCAUGACCUACAUGUGAGCCCUGGAAUCAAAGGAGAUCAUUUUGGAGCUUUAAAAUUUGAUUGACUUGUUGGAUUUUGGACUGGUAUGGGGCCUGUAACCCCUUGGUUUUGGCCAAUUUCUCCCAUUUGGAACAGUUGUAUUUACCCAAUCCCUGCACCCCCAUUGUAUCUAGGAAGUAACUAUUUUUGAUUUUACAGGCUCAUAGGCGGAAGGGACUUGCCUUGUCUCCGAUGACACUUUGGACUGUGGACUUUUGGGUUAAUGCUAAAACGAGUUAAGACUUUGGGGGACUUUUGGGAAGGCAUAAUUGGUUUUGAAAUGUGAGGACAUGAGAUUUGGAGGGGCCAGGGGCAGAAUGAUAUUGUUUGGCUGUGUCCCUAUUCAAAUCUCAAGUAGAAUUAUAUCUCCCAGAAUUCCCACAUGUUGUGGGAGGGACCUAGUGGGAGGUAAUUGAAUCAUAGGGGCUUGUCUUUCUCAUGCUAUUCUUGUGAUAGUGAAGAAGUCUCACAAGAUCUGAUCAUUUAUAACGGGUUUCCACUUUUGCAUCUGGAUCAUUUUUCUCUUGAUGCCACCAUGUAAGAAGUGCCUUUCACCUCCCACCAUGAAUCUGAGGCCUCCCGAGUCAUGUGGAAAUUAAGUCCAGUUAAAGUUCUUUUUGUUCCCAGUUUUGGGUAUGUCUUUAUCAGCAGUAUGAAAACGAACUAAUACAUCAGCCAUGGAAGAAAGUGAGUAUUCAGUGUGCAAACACCUGGUUUGAUUUGUUUACAUGCAUGUCUGGGGUGACUGAACUCAAGUAAUGCACCUAAGGCUCCAUGUUUUGGAUAGAAGUCUGGGUUUGAUAGCAGGCACCAAAAGCAAAUGACUAACUCUAACUCAGGGGACAGAAUACAGCAUGUCUGUGUCCUGGAGAAGACCAUAAACUCUGUCUUUCCAACCGUACAGGUCACUAUAAGGAUAUAGUGAGUUAAUGCAGGAGAAUGUGCUUGGUAAUCUGUAAAGUGUUUUGGAAUUGCAAGGGAAAAUUCCGUGAGUUCCACUAUGAUUGAGACUAAUUUUGUGGCUUUGCAAGGAGAUGUGGCAUGGAAACAUACUCAUGCUUUGAUAACUGAAAGCAAAAUUCUGCAAUGAAACCAUCAUCUUGAGUGUGUGCUAUCAUGCUCAGUAAUCCAAGAUCUCACAGCUUACGUGAUUCUCAACCAUCUCAGCCUCUUCCAACUUUGGUGUUUCCAGUCUCAGAAAGGUGAGGACCUUUUCCCACACAUAAGCAGUGACAUCUUUAAGUCUCACAAAAGAUUUACUUUGAAAAGAUUUUCUUUUUUGGGGUAAAGUCAUGAGAAAACCUCUCAGCUAGGAAAAAGAAAAAAAUAAAGACAAAUUUCAUGUUAGCAGCCUAAAUAAAGAGCUUUGUUAAUAUGAUAAA